rnacentral:rRNA from 1 species
GAUGAACGCUGGCGGCGUGCCUAACACAUGCAAGUCGAACGCUCGCAAGAGAGUGGCGCACGGGUGAGUAACACGUAGCUAAUCUGCCCUCAAGACAAGGAUAACUGUAGGAAACUACUGCUAAUACUUGAUAAGCUUACGGACUGUAGAGGUCUAUAAGAAAGAUUUAUCGCUUGAGGAUGAGGCUGCGCGCCAUCAGCUAGUUGGUAAGGUAAUGGCUUACCAAGGCGACGACGGCUAGGGGACCUGAGAGGGUGA